rnacentral:lncRNA from 1 species
CAGAGGAACCAACUCAGUAAAACCCGAGCUAUGUGAGAUGAAUGCUUGCUGGAUCCCGGGAUUUAGGCUAAAGUGGGCCAGCCUAGCCUGCCUGCUGAAGACAUAAGAAAGGGUUUUUGAAGGCGUCUCUCAUAAGAUGGCAUUUGAGCAGAGACCUGAGGAAGUGAAAGAUGGAGGGCUGAAGCUUCCAGUUAGAGGAACAAGCAAAGACCCCGAGCAGGAUCAGGAAAGUGUGGUAGAGACAUAAUCAAAGAUUCAGACAAAGAUAUAACUACAGAAUGCACAUGACGGUUUUGUUAAUACACCAAAAGGAAAAAAAUUAAAUAACGGACUCUCCCAAUAAAUUGUGACCAUCUAUAGUUUGGAAUAACAUGAAGAUUGUUAAAAACUAUGUUUACAAGAAUGGCAAUAACAGAGAAACACUUGCUAUAUAAUUUUCACAAUAACAAGGUGAAGAAAUAUUAUAUAUAUAUAUAAUAAAAUUCAAAUUUUUAAGAGAAAUUAAAAUGUAUAGAAAACAUUGGAAAAGGAUACACUUAAUAAUCUUUUUUUCAGCAUGGUAGAAUUGUGGGUGAUUUUUGUUCCCUUUAUAUUUUUUAAUACUUUGUACUUUUUAAUGACAAAUGUAUAUACUACCAUUUAAUGAUAAAAAUAUAUUUUUAAAAUACUGGAUAAGAAUUAUUCAAAUAAAUGCCUUAUUUAAAAGUUAAA